rnacentral:tRNA from 1 species
GGGUCUGUAGUAUACCGGUAUUAUGUCAGCCUCCAGAGCUGAAGAAGGGGGUUCAAUUCCCUCCAGGCCCA